rnacentral:sRNA from 1 species
GAACCACUACAUCUGCCACUAAUCUGCCACUAAUUCUACUAGAUAUAUCAUUUAUCUCUUGAUAGAAUCAAUUUUUAUUAGUGUAUACUUUUUCCACGCUGCUUUUCAUUCGAGAUAAACCACCACUAGGCCUGGAGAUUUCACCUCCAGAAGACAUCAUUGAUUCGCCCGCCCGGACCAUCACCGAAGGAAUAUUCAUGGCUCGAGUGUCGAACAAACAGAGAAGUACUAGCUCAACGUGCCUACAAAGUGUACCAAAGUGUGGUGGAAGCAAACUACCGGGCCACUGCAUUCGUCUCCGGCAGAGUUAAAGUGCUAGCGAUGUCCUUGAGCCAACGAACUUCGGGGGAAAGAUAGGGAAACAAAACACGCCCUCUUAGCGAAACUUAAAGCAUUAUACAGCUUUCAGUCGGGCAAGGAGCCAGGGUGAAGUAUGGUUAUCUACAUGAAACAAUAAAGGCCUGCCAGGAUUGGCUAUGCAGAAUACUAGCAUGUAUGUGUGUAUCAACAGCGCCUCCCUCUUGACCUCAUUGCCUCAUUGACCUCGAGGACUCAACAGCAAGAAUGACUGUAUUCAAAAAAUUGCAGCUGGAUACCCUAUAAGAUCCAAACAGCAAGGAUGUUAAAUGUAGCUACUAUGUACUCUAUGCUCAAGACUACAUGGAGUGUAGGUUGUACUUACGCUUGAACUGGUUAUACUUAACUUUCUAUUCAUUCUUUCUACUGAUAUGGCCAC